ACUCAAAUGAAUUGACGGGGGCCCGCACAAGCAGUGGAGCAUGUGGUUUAAUUCGAUGCAACGCGAAGAACCUUACCUGGGCUCGAAAUGUAGAGGACUAGGCAAGAGAUUGUCUAUCCCGAAAGGGUCUCUAUAUAGGUGCUGCAUGGCUGUCGUCAGCUCGUGCCGUGAGGUGUUUGGUUAAGUCCAGCAACGAGCGCAACCCUUAUCGUUAGUUGCCAGCGCGUAAUGGCGGGAACUCUAGCGAGACUGCCUAGGUUAACUAGGAGGAAGGUGAGGAUGACGUCAAGUCCGCAUGGCCUUUAUGUCCAGGGCUACACACGUGCUACAAUGGUCGGUACAGAAGGCAGCGAAACCGCGAGGUGGAGCAAAUCCUAGAAAACCGAUCUCAGUUCGGAUUGCAGUCUGCAACUCGGCUGCAUGAAGUUGGAAUUGCUAGUAAUGGCGUGUCAGCAACAACGCCGUGAAUACGUUCCCGGGCCUUGCACACACCGCCCGU
rnacentral:rRNA from 1 species